CCUACGGGAGGCUGCAGUGGGGAAUAUUGCGCAAUGGGCGAAAGCCUGACGCAGCGACGCCGCGUGAGGGAUGAAGGUCUUCGGAGCGUAAACCUCUGUCAGCAGGGAAGAACGGUCACUGGGCGAAGCAGCAGUGAAUGGACGGUACCUGCAAAGGAAGCACCGGCUAACUCCGGGCCAGCAGCAGCGGUAAUACGGAGGGUGCGAGCGUUAAUCGGAAUUACGGGGUGUAAAGCGCGCGUAGGCGGUAUGUCAAGUCAAGGGUGAAAUCCCCGCGCUCAACGUGGGAACUGCCUUUGAAACUUGCAACCUGGAGUGUUUUCGAGGUUAGUGGAAUUCCAGGUGU
rnacentral:rRNA from 1 species